UACGUAGGGGGCAAGCGUUGUCCGGAUUUAUUGGGCGUAAAGAGCGUGUAGGCGGCCAUACAGGUCCGUUGUGAAAACUGGAGGCUUAACCUCCAGACGUCGAUGGAAACCGUAUGGCUAGAGUCCGGAAGAGGAGAGUGGAAUCCUGGUGUAGCGGUGAAAUGCGCAGAUAUCAGGAAGAACACCGACGGCGAAGGCAGCUUACUGGGCCGAUGCUGACGCUGAGGAGCGAAAGCGUGGGGAGCGAACAGG
rnacentral:rRNA from 1 species